UUGAUUCUGCUUAUUACUCUGAGAUGCAUAACACAUGUACUGGAAAAUCCCCACAAGUGGCCCAGUCAGAGCUUGAACGGACUUGAACCCAAUCUAACUUUAGAGGAUAUGCAGAGAAGAAUGGGAGAAACUCCCAAAAUACAGCUGUGCCAAGCUUGUAGCGUCAUACCGGAGAAAACUACAGGCUGUAAUCGCUGCAAAAGGUCCUUCAACAAAGUACUAAGUUAACAAAGAAUCACCGCUGCUUCCCAUGCUGCCAAUCACUAGCAGUGCAGCCAGCAAAACAGUGCAUCGGACAGCACAAGGAAAAUGCUACAAGUACAGAUGUGACAAGUGAAAACAAAUCAUCUAAACUGGGGAUAGUUAGCUAGAUUAAUGUCACAAGCAUGAUGAGUUCACCAAUGACUUUAGUUCCACUUGAAGGUCCAAAAUCAUGUGAUGAAAUCCUGGAAUCUCAUUGUUGCAGUCCUCCCCAAUAGCAAGCAUGUAAUAGCUGGUAAUGAGCAGCUGAUGGCAAAGCAGCAGGCAACUGAACUGCUUGUUUUGAACAAUAUAUUUUUGAAACAGUAAAAUGUACACAAAUGAA